GUAUUGGAGAGACUAAAAGAGUGCGUGUUUUGAAUUCUUACGGAAAGUAAUGUCUACGAAUUUUCAAGAUUAUUCAAGUUCUCCCCUUUUUUUAAUUAUUUUCAAGAUUCUUCAUCAAGGUUGCUUUCCUAUCAAUUUUUCAGAUGCAGCAAAAGAUAUUUAAAAUAAAAGUAAAUAAAAGAGAAAAUAAAUAAAUAAAUGUUGUUGACAAUAAAUUUUACAAUUGAGGAGAGAUCAUUAAUGUACAUUUGUCAUUAUUAUCGA
rnacentral:lncRNA from 1 species